UUAGCUUGAUUUCAGUAGGUUAUCUGACUAACAAGCAUAGUCUGAGCAGCCAGUCAGACUUAUCUACCAAAAUUCAGAGGGGGACUGGGACAACUCAGAAAAAUCAAGCAACAGGAGACCUGAAGGAGACACAGAUGACUGAUUGUCACUGGUGGAUAGACAAUAUGCUGGACACCUACUAUACUUUCAGAGGGAACCUGAACUUGUUAGCUCCGUUACUCAUGGAACAAAUUACAGCAUAAAGGACUGAGAACACUUUGAGCUCCCAGUGAAGGUUUAAAAAAGCACAUUACGCUGUAACACAUACCCCCUUCUGCCUAAGGAUCUUCUACUGACUCAAGCUAUAGUUCAAGUCCUAGUACUACGUACCAGAGAUGGCUAUGUAAAAUUGCGACCAGUGUGCAAAGGGGGCAUAAUAUGACAGAAAAAAAAAUCCACAAAGAAAAAUAGCUAACAAUUUUGAAGCUUACAACUGCAUCAACAGAAAAGGUUACACAAAUCCCAGAUGAGAUCCAAGAAGGACAUUUUAUUUCUUCCUCCAUGUUUCCGUCAGUGAGAAAAGAUACGAUUAUUUAACGUUCAUGAUAAUACAGGUGCAAAUACAAGAGGUUAUUUAACAGGAAUUAAAGAGCUCAACUCAAAAAACUUUACUUGGUUUUAUGAAAACAAAACAUUGGAGUACGCUGCAUUUGCUCUCAUUUCAAUCCCUAAACAACAACUUAGCUAAACUCUGAGCUAACUCUCAGGCUUUUUAAACGUAUACAUCAGAUCAUGAAUAUCAUCACAUGCAAGCGUGCGCCUCCUACAGCAUCUCUCUGUAGCUUGUGAAACUUCAGAAGUUUUAUUACUGAGUAUGUACAGAAUGGUCUUACUCUCUGAAACUCCUGUUGUGAGCAAUUUCUUCUUGAGCCAGCCUCAUGCUAUCUGGUUUCAGCCUACAAAGACAGGCUGAGGGACACAGUGUUACGAUUCCCUUUCGGUCAGAGAUUCUCCUAGCUUACAGAAGGAAAACCAUCAUACAUUCUGCUCAGAAAAGCAGCGUGUUCUCUCACACUCAUCAUGUUGUAACUGGAAAAAUUAAAUAAUGGCUAAUAGGGGAAUCUUACUGGCACACCAGGCAAAACUUUCACCUGAAAAACUGCUGUGGUUUGUUUUUGUUUUUCAGUUAAUCUAUUUAAAAAUGAAUUACCAUAGCAAUGAUUUAGGAAUGUUGGAAGGUUAUUCACUGAAAUGACUUAAUAAAACGUAACUUAAGAAGGUGUAAGGCACCAGAGAUCCUCCUGGUCCACUGUGCUUCCUCCAGCAAUGGGAGCCCAACAGGAGAUAGACAAGCCCAAGACCCCAGACAGUGUGCCAAUCUCCACUUAUUCAGCUCAGGAAUGUCCUUGAACCAAACCAUGUUUCUACACACUCAGCAGCCCCCAAAUGACUUCUGUGAACUUGCCCUGUCUUCCCCAAAGGCCAUGACAACUUUACAACAUAGCUUCACUUUUACAUGCUGCCACUGACAUGCAUGGACUGCAACAAUACCCUACUGUCUUUCACAUUACUUUUAUGGCCUAGCCAUUGUGCAUGGGAUUUCUGCAUACCUAUCCAUCAUGUUCCUAGCAAAGAUUAUACAGUAACACAGAAGAAGUGUCCUACAGUUACGCGAUGAAAGCAGAAGGGAAGAGUUCUUGUUACAUGGGACUACAACAGCUAGGAAGUCUUUUGUACACUAGAGUUCAGAUCAGUCAGUUCCUUUUGAAACACAUCAGACCAAGCCUUACAGCUUCUGCCCACCAAAUUAAGUUUAGGUGUGAGCAAAGGUAGUAGUGUUCAUUUAUCCAGAGGGCAAGGGUGAACAAGACAGACCCGUUCUUAUACUACCCAACCUCUGCAAGAAGUAGCAGGCAGCAAAUCACAAACAGCAAAAUUUACACAGCACGGGGUUUCUCUGAACAUGUAGGUCUUCAGUGGCUUCUGGUCUGACCUUAAUCUCUGACUGUAGAUGCAGGGUUGGAAGUAAGCGUGUUAUUUAGACAGCAUUCACUCUCCCAUUACAUCCUACCAUUCAUUCCUACCUCCACUUUCAUUUUCCCCCAUCUUGUUCACUCCACAUGUUAAACUAGGGAAAUGAUCCACAUUAAGAAUAAGCUCUCCCAUCCACUCAUAUAUACGGUCAGGCAAAACAAACAGCUUUGCCAGGACACAGCUGAGGGCAUGGUGCAGGAAUAAAAAUAGGAAGCCAGAGUGGACAGAAACAGGGGAGGCUGUCAGUGGAUGGGGACAGAGGAGAAAGAGGAGGAUAGCUCAGCCUGGCUGCACAGUUUGAACAAAUGCUCAUGAAACUGCACCGUGAGUGUUUCUCAGCAUGCAUGCUUAAGAGCAGUGUGAUUCAGAUUAGCCUAAAAGUAUGAAACUCACAGAGAAAAACAAUGUCUGUCAGACAGUAAAAUACCUUCCAGGUUAGAAAUCCACAUCAGGUCCCAACAGGAACUCACUCUAACAACACUGGGAAAACCUGCCCAGAAAUAGUACACACUGAUAGAAGUCAGCCAGUCAGUGAGUACAGCAAACAAAGAGUACUCAGAAUAAAGGAACUCUCUUGCUGGGAGC